rnacentral:rRNA from 1 species
AUUGGACGCUGGCGACAUGCUUUACACAUGCAAGUCGAACGGUAACAGGUUAAGCUGACGAGUGGCGAACGGGUGAGUAAUGCAUCGGAACGUGCCCGGUCGUGGGGGAUAACGCAGCGAAAGCUGCGCUAAUACCGCAUACGAUCUAAGGAUGAAAGCGGGGGACCGUAAGGCCUCGCGCGAUCGGAGCGGCCGAUGUCAGAUUAGGUAGUUGGUGGGGUAAAGGCUCACCAAGCCAACGAUCUGUAGCUGGUCUGAGAGGACGACCAGCCACACUGGGACUGAGACACGGCCCAGACUCCUACGGGAGGCAGCAGUGGGGAAUUUUGGACAAUGGGCGAAAGCCUGAUCCAGCAAUGCCGCGUGCAGGAAGAAGGCCUUCGGGUUGUAAACUGCUUUUGUACGGAGCGAAAAGGUCUCCUCUAAUACAGGGGGCUCAUGACGGUACCGUAAGAAUAAGCACCGGCUAACUACGUGCCAGCAGCCGCGGUAA